rnacentral:rRNA from 1 species
UACGGAGGGUGCAAGCGUUAUCCGGAUUCACUGGGUUUAAAGGGUGCGUAGGAGGGCAGGUAAGUCAGUGGUGAAAUCUCCAAGCUUAACUUGGAAACUGCCGUUGAUACUAUCUGUCUUGAAUACCGUGGAGGUGAGCGGAAUAUGUCAUGUAGCGGUGAAAUGCUUAGAUAUGACAUAGAACACCAAUGGCGAAGGCAGCUCGCUACACGAAUAUUGACGCUGAGGCACGAAAGCGUGGGGAGCAAACAGG